AGUAGUGCGGGGAUCAAUACAGUCAUGCCAGGGCCAGGCCACUAGCGAGCGUUCUGUGCAGGGCUGCCAGAUGCCACCGAACUAACAAGUCCGUAAUCAUCACAAGACAAGCCCGAAUUAAGUGGAAAAUUCAACAAUUUUAAUUUUUUAAAGCAUAUUUUGAUAGCAAAAACUGUCACUCAAAUACAAAGUUUGAAAAAAAAAAGAAUCGCCUGUUUUGUGCAGUGAAAGCAGGAGCAUCUAUGAAGCCGCCUUCUUCAUGGCAGCGCCGAAUAAGUACGCAGAAGUGGCUCAGAUGACCAAACUGCUCUACAAUGGAAAUACAGACAAGCUUCCCAGGAUCGCCAAGACAGACGUAACGCUAUCACUGCCCACCGGUAAAAACUGGAACGACUUCACGUGGUUCUCGGUCUACUGCGUCGACACCAGGGCGAGUCACGCCGACUUGGACAUCGACAG